UGGGGAAUAUUGCGCAAUGGGCGAAAGCCUGACGCAGCGACGCCGCGUGAGGGAUGAAGGUUUUCGGAUCGUAAACCUCUUUCAGAAGGGAAGAAACCGCACUGUGCUAAUCAGCAGUGCCUUGACGGUACCUUCAAAGGAAGCACCGGCUAACUCCGUGCCAGCAGCCGCGGUAAUACGGAGGGUGCAAGCGUUAAUCGGAAUUACUGGGCGUAAAGCGCACGUAGGCUGCUUUGUAAGUCAGGGGUGAAAUCCCACGGCUCAACCGUGGAACUGCCUUUGAUACUGCUUAGCUUGAAUCCGGGAGAGGGUGGCGGAAUUCCAGGUGUAGGAGUGAAAUCCGUAGAUAUCUGGAGGAACAUCAGUGGCGAAGGCGGCCACCUGGACCGGUAUUGACGCUGAGGUGCGAAAGCGUGGGGAGCAAACAGG
rnacentral:rRNA from 1 species